CGAGAAUCCAUAGAGAACAUGGGUGACAAUGGAGGAAAAAAUGUGCCGCAGUGUCAUCCAUCAUUAAUGUAACCUGCUAUUGAUAAGCUUUAUGUAGGGGACAAGAAGCACGAAAGCACACAGUUUACACUGAUCAUUCAUUAAAAACCCAAUUUCACCAUGCUGCAUUGUUCUUAACUGUCCAUGAGCUCUGGAAAAAUAUAUAUAAAUAAAAGUAAAUAAUAAUAAUAAUAAUAAUAAUAAUAAAUUCACCAAUCACCACAACACAUCCGCACAACAGCACUAUGUCCCAAAUGCCUUCCCCUUCAGGACUGCUUCUCCUCACUCCACACUUGGAAGAACGUAUAGAGCUUAGGGUGCCAUUUUGGGCACAGCCUUACACCUCUCCUCCGGUGACGUCACACAGUAAAGGACACAGAAACAAGAUAGAGAGCACGUGUUCAUUUCCAAGCUAUCCUACUCUUUAUUUAAUGCAAAUUACAGUACCAGGUAACUAUUCUCUGAAUCCGAGUCACACCGAGGACCAAAACGGACAUUAUUUACAAAGAAAGGGAGACACUUAGCAUAUCUUUACAGAAAAGAUGUAUAUAUUAAAAAAAAAAAAAAAAAAAAAAAAAAAAAAAUCAGUCACAAACAGAAGCAUUCAAGUAGUAGUAAUGUUACACAGGUUGUAUUUUUUCUUUAUUUUCACUUUAAAUCUUUCACUUUUUUUUCUUGACGCUGUAUGUAAUGUAAUGUAAGAUAAUGUCUGAAUAUAGCUAAUGUUUUUUUUUUUUUGGCUUUUCCAUUUUUAAACCUGUCUUUACUCUUAUUUAAAUUUUAGUUUAGUCACAAGAAGUGGUCACACGGUUCAUGGAAAGUAACAUGUCUAUGAAUGCAUAACUUACAAAGCGAGCUUUACACAGGAGGAGGAGGGGGUGGGAGCUGGAGGAAUGGAGGAUUGUGGGUGCUACGUGACGCCCUUGAAGUGCUGCUCUCAGCCGGCCAAACGCAAAUGUCUGCGCUGAGGAGUUAUUGCCCUUAGGGAUGACACUAUGACCUGGGGCUGAAGACAGACUCAGUUGUCCUCCCCUCACUCUCUCUCACACACACACACACACACACACACACAGCAUACCGUCAUAAUAUGAUCUCUGACAAAUACCCAGCCCCCCCCCCCCCCCCCCCAAAAAAAAAGUUAAUUAAGCAAUAUCAGACGAGCGUGAGUGCUUUUGUAGUGAAUAUCAGCACAAGUGUGAUUCAGGUGCAGGUAAUCACAGGUAAUCAUGCAGUGCUAAUAUUCAAUACAACGUGACUUCGAGUGUGAUACUGUUUUUAUACAACAGUUCUAUAAAAAAAGAAGAAAAAAAGAAGAAAAGAAAUGAAUACCAAGUAAUUGACAUUUCAAACAACAUGCCCAAAUAUUUUGUUUCGUUUUGCUCCGUCAUUGACGACAGUUCCUAAAGAAGCUGUAGCUAGAUAGUGCUGCAUGUCACCAUGCCAACACUCAGAUUAACUGACAGCCCGUAGUAAGUGUAGUAACAGUUUCAAUGUAAUGAACUGUCGCUCGGUUUGGAAUUGUAUGUAGUGAACACACACAAGUGACUUGAUACGAACGGUGAAAUGUCCCGGUGCUGUUAUACUAAAUAUCAGCACUCUUGCAACACCACUGCUCCAGUCAAAUUAGUGGACCCAAAAUACCUGCUUUAUAAAACUUUAUACGGUUGUUAGUUGUUGUUUUUAGAAAACUCAGCCGCUUACCUUAAUUUAACAAUGUGUAUAAUUAAAAACAUCCAAAAUACCUACUUUGUUGCAUGUAUUGCAUGUAACCUAAUGAUUUGAGCAGUUAUUGGAUUUACAUUUCUCUGAGUAUCGUUAAAACCCAUGCAGCGCAGCAGCCUGGCAUGUUAACGUUGCCUGGAUUAGGCUACAAAUCAUAAAAAGUAAAAUGGGUUUUAAAAAAAAAAAAAAACAACCACCAAAAAACAUUAAAUCAGUUCCAUUUUCUGAAGCAGUGCAUCACAAUUAGCAAAUUUUACUUGGGCCUCUAACUCCAAUGCCAGAAGAGAAUUUAUUUUAUCCGCUCAAAAUCCAGCCCUGGUGCCCCCCCCCCCCCCGGAUCGUAUUAUGAGUCAUUAAAAUAUUACAAAUGAAACGGUUUAUAAUGUAAAUAAAGAGGUAAGCCAGAAGAGCUUUAACACUGACCGACCAACAGCACACACUCCGAGCGUCACCGAGAGAGUUACAGUACUGUGUGAGUAAAGGAUGAGGUUCAGGGAGGGGAGCAGAGGAGAUUGGGGAAAGGGGGUGAAUGGAAGCAAAGGCACUCCAAACUCUAGAUACACUAUACAGUUACUACAUAUCGUUACAAUAUAGCUGGCACCUACUGUACAGAGAAGAUUGAACUAUAUGGCUGGAGAAAACUCCUCAUCUACAGUUUCCAACAAACAGUUCAGAUUCACCCUGAUCUUUUUUUUUAUUAUUAUUAUUUUCUUACCCCCCCCCCCCCCCCCUUUUAUGACAUUUUUUUCCUUUUUUUUCCGUUUUUUUUUUUUUUUUGCUUGGUAACAGUUCUCAGGUCAGCAUAUGUACAUACCAUAAACAAGAAAACACACACACACGCACGCACGCAAAUUAAAAACAAAACAUACAAGCCAGAAUUUGGCAAGGAGCAACUGUGCUGUAUUGUAUUUACACCUUUUGUUGUCUUUUCAAAACUGUUACAUUUGCGUAUUAAGACAUUCUGAUUAAAAUAUACAGUUUUUCCAUUUAAGAUGACGUUAAAAUUGGAAAAAGGGAGAAAAAAGUGUAACAAAUGUUCAAGUAGUGGUUACAACAACUACACAGCAUCGACGAUUUAACACAGAAAACAGGAAAUGCUCAGCUCCUCAGUUCACAGUGCUGAACAAUCGGCAUCAUCUUUAUUUUAAGAAACACUGAGUCACGUGACGCCUCAGCUAACGAUGCACCAUUCAUGUUCAACUCGAACCUAACACAAUCGCAUCGAAUCUAUCUUUCAAUGGAUUGGUUUAUUCAAUCAAAAAAAAAAAAAAAACCCUGCUUUUUGACUGAAUUCGUGGUGUGACCAACAAACAAAGAAACCUGAGGACUACUGAUACUAACGGAGAGGAAAAGCACGAGUGUUAAACUCAGGAUUAGAACAUAAUCUACAGUUCUACGGCUCUGAACUGAAAUUUUUAGAACAUCUGCUAGAAAUUACAGCAUUCCUGCUCCGGAAACACAUUUCAUUUAUUCGUGUAUACAUACAUAAUAUCUCAGUCAGCAGCAGAUUGACUGCCACACAAAAGCUCCGCCCCAGAUGCCUGUGAAGUGUUCUGAACCAAUCACGUAUAACGCUUUGUUGAUUCAGAAUACAAUGAACCCAGAGGCGGAGCUUUUAUUCAUAUGCACACAUGUGCACGCACACACGCACGCAUAUAUAUAUAUAUUUUUUUUUACAUAACGCAAAGAAAUAUAUAAACUGUGUAUGUAUUUAUAUAUGUAUAUAUAAUACAAAAACACAGAAAAGGAGACAAAGAAGUCUCUUGUGUCAAUCAAAAAAGUCUGCCCCUCCCCCACCCACCCCCUUAAAAUCCCCCUGUUCAAUAUAAAAUAAAAUAACAUAAAAUCAUAUGUAAAUAUUUCAAACUCCUAACUAAAUCUUCCAGAGCGCCUCGAGAUUUCUUUUUGUUUUCUUUUGGCUUUGUUGCUGAAUCGUGCACGCUUGUUGUGUUACUUCAUUUGUUACGCAGUCCGAG
ensembl:lncRNA